rnacentral:rRNA from 1 species
AGUAGGUUUGACGUCCUGGCUCAGGACGAACGCUGGCGGCAUGCCUAACACAUGCAAGUCGAACGGUAAGGCCCUCUUCGGAGGGUACACGAGUGGCGAACGGGUGAGUAACACGUGGUAACCUGCCCUUCACUGGGGGACAACCGAGGGAAACUUCGGCUAAUACCGCAUGAUGUGCGAUGCCAUGAGGUGUCGUACCAAAACUCCGGUGGUGAAGGAUGGGCCCGCGGCGGAUUAGCUUGUUGGUGGGGUAAUGGCCUACCAAGGCGACGAUCCGUAGCUGGUCUGAGAGGACGAUCAGCCACACUGGGACUGAGACACGGCCCAGACUCCUACGGGAGGCAGCAGUGGGGAAUCUUGCGCAAUGGGCGAAAGCCUGACGCAGCAAUGCCGCGUGAGGGAAGAAGGUCUUAGGAUUGUAAACCUCUUUCAGCAGGGACGAAAACAGACGGUACCUGCAGAAGAAGCCCCGGCUAACUACGUG